UACGUAGGGUGCGAGCGUUGUCCGGAAUUACUGGGCGUAAAGAGCUCGUAGGUGGUUUGUCGCGUUGUUCGUGAAAACUCACAACUCAAUUGUGGGCGUGCGGGCGAUACGGGCAGACUGGAGUACUGCAGGGGAGACUGGAAUUCCUGGUGUAGCGGUGGAACGCGCAGAUAUCAGGAGGAACACCGGUGGCGAAGGCGGGUCUCUGGGCAGUAACUGACGCUGAGAAGCGAAAGCGUGGGGAGCGAACAGG
rnacentral:rRNA from 1 species